rnacentral:rRNA from 1 species
UACGGAGGGGGCAAGCGUUGUUCGGAAUUACUGGGCGUAAAGGGCGCGCAGGCGGCUGCUCAAGUCAGGCGUGAAAGGCCUGGGCUCAACCCGGGAAUUGCGCUUGAGACUGGGCUGGCUUGAGUGCGGGAGAGGAUGGUGGAAUUCCAGGUGUAGCGGUGAAAUGCGUAGAUAUCUGGAGGAACACCGGUGGCGAAGGCGGCAUCCUGGACCGGUAUUGACGCUGAGGCGCGAAAGCCAGGGGAGCAAACGGG